AGGUCAAUGGAAAGAAUCCUACUGAAGUCUGUGGGCUUUGAAUUGGACCCCUGAUGGCGAUAAUUUAGUCCAAGAAACAGAACUUGGUUAGAUACAAUGGCUAAAGGUCCUGAUCGCUGUCAAGCAUUCUUAUCACAGCUUCUUCCAUCUAAAGAUCUCAAUGCACUUUCCAAGAAAUAACUCAUUGUAAGGGGUUCUCAUCUGGCUACCUGGAGAUCCCUGAUGUCUGGAGCAGAGGCUGAGCCCAUCGUGGGCUGGGGAGGAAGGCUGCUCUCUUUGAGGGGUGCAGGGGCCUUGUUCCAUUCAACUAGCAGCUACUUCUCCCUCACCUUUUCUAUUUCUGAGCCUCUGGAUGAGGCUGUUCCCUGCUCUAAGGGAGGUGCAGAGCUUAACUAACAGAUGAGAGAGCAAAGAAGUGACAGAGAGAGCUGGGAGAUGUCCUCAGCCCUACUCUGGUAUCCUCUUCUCCAGUCCCUCUCUCCUGGAUGGGCUGGGCUGGGUGGACUCAGAAGACAGCUGACACGAACAGGGAUAUACAGUACAGAAGGAGUGGGGAGAUGACAUCCCCCUUUACCAGACCUCUGGCACCAUCAGGGGUUCUGUGCUGCCUCUGGGGUUACUGGGGAAGACCUCAGCCAGGUGGAGAGGCAGAGGCAGAUCAGGUGAGGUAGGGCCCUCUCCAUGCUGGUCCAGUGUGGGCUGUGUGAUGAGCACUGAAUGCUGAUGGGAUAGGACAGCCUGAGAGUUCAUGCUCCAUGGGCUGCUGAGUUGAUACUGUACUUCUGUGCCCCAUUCCCUGUUCACCUUGACCCUCCCAAUGGCACUGACAGGCCCAGGGGGCCCUCCAGCUGCACAUCACCGUCCUACUGAGUAACUCCCUGUGACUGAUUAGCCUCUUACUGCUGCUGUAAGAGGCUAAGACACUUGCUGGCUUCCCAGCCCCUGAAGGGGGAAAAGGGAACUCCUUCCCUGCCCCCCCACAACACUGCAGCAAGGUACUGGGACAGGGGAAAGAUUCCCCACACCACCCAACUUUCCUCUAAGGAUUGGGCAGUGAGGAAGGAGUGCUUGAAGCCCACAUGUGGGAGCUCUGUGAGUCACCCACUGAUAGACACUCGGUGGGUAAGCUCAGCCACAUUGACAUCCCUGGGCUUGUCUGGCCAUUUCUAAUGGUCUCAUCAACGUGUCAGAAACGGAGACAGCUCCUGAAAGCAACAGGAUAACAAUGGGAUACACACAGAAAGGCAUGCAUGCCUGCAUAUAUGCGUGCAUGCACACAUGCAUGCACCCUCCCUCCUUACUUCCCUCCCUCUCUCCCCAGACAUGCACCAGCAUAGGAACUUAUAUUCACUGCAGAACCUAGGCCCAACACGCCAACAGAAUGGGCUGCAACUGAAGUGCACUGCAGCACUUUCUGAGGUGACAUCACCAAUAGCCAUCACCCAUUAAGGUCAAGCCAAGUAAGCCCAAGCAGGUCAGUAAAACACCUGAAGAGUCUCAGCUUGAAAGUUCAAGGAACUCUGCUUUCCCACCCAUUUCAGCUUUCAGCACAAGCGUUCAAGGAGGCAGCCAGCACUGAAGUCCUUGGUGUUCAAAACCUGAGUUUCCCACAGCCCUAGCAGCCAGAAAUGACAAGGUCCUGGGUGGUCCUGGUGAUGUUUUCCUGGUGAGAGAGGAGUGUCCUCUCCAGCCUUCUCUGCAGUGUUCUCUCCAGCACCACAGAGGAAAGUGUGGCUGAUUUCCAGGGGCAGGAGUGCUGACAGCCCCCCAUAUCCCUUAUGCUUUAAAAUACAAGCUCCUUUUUCCCAAAAUAUUUAAUGCAUCUUAGCCCCAUUUUCUAGCUGGCCUGCUUGAUUCACCCCAGCACACUCAGCCCCCACCCCAUUGCUAUCCAUAGACCUUCAGUGGGGCUGGGUUCAUGCAUGCAGUAUUGAGGGGCUGGUAUAAAGGUGGCCACUGCCAGCCAAGGUGGAGGGGCUGCUUCUGAAAACAGAUCUCUUGGUACAGAGUCAGUGCCAGAGAUAUGAGAAUCCACUCAAUGGAAUGAACAGGCACCCACUUACACAGACGAUGGGCACAGCUUUCCCAGCAAUGUGCAGUGAGCCUGUGGGUGUCCUUGCUGCAGAAUACAGUCAAAGCAAAUGGCUCAGCAGAAAUCAAAAGGCUCAGACAUUGCAAUGGAUGAGGAUGGCAUGCACCUGUCUACAUAUCAGCCCCCUCCCCACUAUACCUGCAAUUAUACUGGAAUAAAUGCACUGGGUCAAUAGAAUCAUGGAGAAUGAGGGCUGGAAGGGACCUCCAGAGGUCCAAUCCCCUGCCUGAGGCAGGAUCAUCCCUAUCCAGACCAUCCUAUGCAAUCCAUUAUCUAAACUCUUCAUAAAACUACCAUCAACCCUGACACAACACAGACAUAAUACCCACACCUGCCACCUGCUUCUAUAAAAGGUUGUUAAGAUAUUCUCAAGAGAUCCCAGGUAGAGGGCCAUGCCCUCCACUGUAGAGGUUGCAAGAGAUCCAACAGUCCAUACCAGAGCUCAUCCUGGGAUGAGGAGGAAGACUGCUCUCUCUGAGGAGUGCAGUGGCCUCAUUUCACUACACCAAGCCACCUCCCUCACCUUCUCCAUCUCUGAGCCCCUGUCUGGAUCAGGCUGGCCCCUGCCCCAAGAGAGAAGCCAACACCCAAUGCCUCCAAGGAAGGCUUAAAAACACCCCAACACAUGUAGCAGCAAAAGUGUGGGGGAGGAAAGGGCAACCAACAAAUCCCAGAAGCAUGGGAAAGAUCCAUAGUAGAUCAUGGACAUAAUUACACCUAGAUCAUCCCUGACCAGUGGCUGUCCAACCUUUUGAACACCUCCAAUGAUGCAGAGUUCACAACUUCCCUAGGCAGUCUGUUCCACUGUUCUAACAGUGAAGCUUUUCCUGAUAUCAGGAAUUGGUGACAUACACUGACAUAUAGAAGGAAUCUCCCUGUAACACAACUGGACAAUGAUAUGUCUUUGGGGCCUUUCCACUACUUCUGGUGGCAGGAUGCCAGCCUUGUAAGGCCAUCCCUUUGACCUGGUGUAGGACCCAGUGGAUUAAUUGCUAGUCAGGUCUCCUCUGUGCUAGGUGCUGUACUGAUGCAGGGCAAGAGAGCUGCCAUCUUGAGGAGUGGACUCUCUGCAGCAGUGGUGAGCCAGUGCAACAUGAGCUGGGAAACCAGACUAGACAGACUCUUGAUUUGCUUUGCUAUCUAUGGUAGGGGUAAGGACUAAGUGGCUCCUGGCUUUGCUUAGUCCAGGGAGAGCAAGAGGAGAGCUAGCAGGCUGGAGGGGUCUUCCUGGUAAGAGGGAAUAGGCAGGGUCUGUUCCAGGCUGAUUAAUCCUACCUUUCUGAUAAGACACAGCCAGAAAAUGACAAACCUAAAGCACUAAAGGGGCCAGCCUGAAAGCAGGAAACAGCAGAGAGACCUGUCAGUGCUGCAGCAGAGCACACUGGCAGCCUCUUAAUUAUUGAUGGUGUUUCUAAAUAAAUGCAGGGAUGGAGAAGAGAAGGUUAUGGUGGAGAGUGAGGAGCUUCCAGACGAGGGAGGGAACCCAAGAACGCGACUGUUUCAAAGGUCAGUCGUUUUCUGCAUCUUUUUCCUCGUGUCUCUGUAAAACUCAGUGAUAUUUGAGCUGAUGGAUUGUCUUCCUGGUGCAUCUUCCUCUUAGACCUGCCUGAGUUACUGGAGGAGGGUGAGGCAUGGUGCGGUGGGGGGAAGGGAGAAGGAGGGAAGGGUUCCUGAAAUGCAGGAUAAACAGCAGUGGCAGAUUGAGAUUUAUUGGGGCCCUGGGCAAACAGAACAUUGGAGGCCCCCCAUCCUUCAUUAUAAACAUGAAUGUAUCAAAAAGCAUUAAUAAAUAGACCCAUUAAAUGUUUACACAGUGCAUUAAUAAAUAAAGGACAACAUGCAAUGUCAAAAUUAACUACUCAGAUUUGGCACACACAAAACUAAAUAAAACAACUGCCUUAGGAAAAUGACUAAGAUGCAUGGGAUUGCCAUAAACAUAUAAUAACACGAGAGGAAAAAUGUUUUAGUUUAGUGGUCAUGUAGACUCUUGUUUAACUAUUUUUAAUAGAUAUUUUACAUUGUACCUACAUUACAGUAAACUACUACAAGAAAAAUACAGACCAUACCUACCUUGAGUACGAGUCUAAGAAUACCGUUAGUGAUUCUUGCAAUUAAAAUAAAGCAGAAGGCCUACACAAUACGUCUUGAAUUUUUUUUAAUCUUUCCUGAAACAUUACAUUUGUGCUAAACUUCCUAUACUGUAAAGCUCUCUUUUAUAUAGCCAUUACACUUGUGUUUUAAUGCCACCAUCAAAUAAUUAUGUAACCAAAAUGUAUAGAUAUAUUGAUAUAUACAUACAUAUAUACACACACGAUGUCUCUCUUUCUCUCUAUACCUGUAUUUCUCUCUAUAUAGAUAUCUAUAUAGAUGUAUACAUACACACACACAUAUACACAAUCUUUCUCUCUAUAUAUAAUGUAUCUCUUUAGGCAGACAGAUAGACAGAGCUGUAUCUAAUCAACCCCUGGAAGAGCUCACACUUCCCCAAACAAGCUGCCAUCACUCGGGAGAGAUGCAGACACCUCUAUCAGCAGCCUUAUUUGGGGUCAAGAACUUCAGGAAGCAUCUCGGGGGCAGUGGGAUUCCCUUUCUCUGUGCCCCAAAGCAGCCCUUGGCAGCAGGACUAAAGAACUGCGUGCUGCCCUGCAGGGGGAUCUGGUGUGGUGUGAGGUCAGUUUGGGGUUGCAUCCCCCACAACACACUCCCCCGCAGACACUUGCAUACAGACAGACACUCUGCACCCACCCUCAGCGGCACGGCAGCCUGUCGUGAGCCAUCUGCCUGCCCUGUGACCUGACUAUUGGGAGGGAGGGAGGGCAGGAGCAGGCUCCUUCCAGGCACAGGGAUGAGAGAGAGACAGAUCAGGUGGGCAGUAAGCAGCAGGGUUGGCAGGGAUCCUCGCUGCCACCUCACCCUGACCAUCCCCAUGGAGCAGUCAGACAAGUUCCAGUACUUCACAGGACUUUCCCCUGCAGGAUGGGGAGCACAGCAGGUCCCUGCUCCAUUCCCCAGGGAGCCUCUGAUUGGCAGGGGCCUCGGAGCCCGGGCUCAAGGGCCAGUGCAUUAAUCCAUCCCUGCAACAGCAAAGCAAAGAGAUGACAAAAUGAGUGGAGCAGCAAAUUCCAAACCAUAAAGAACUCAUCUGUGCCUAUGUGAAAAUAUGGCUUGUGCAAUCUCUGAUGGGCCCCCUCUUCCUGAGCAGUGUAUGGUACUCAAAGAGGGGAGCUUCUGCAGAAAGGCAGGGGAGAGAUAGAUGAGAUCAAGGGAGCGCUCAGGCGGGGGUGGACUGUAUGGUGAACUGGGAAUUUUUGUCAGGGCCUUGAAAUAAAUCAAAUCAUAAAGAGAAGCCUGGUUAAGUAUCUUCUAUUUCCCUAGUAUCUUAUAUCCUGGAGUCCCACAAAGCAUUGACAACAAUCAUUUUAUGGUGAAAUGCAGCUGCCUCUGGGGAGAGACAUGGCACUCAUUUCCAAAAUCAUAAUGGCAACAGUUUGUAUGAAGGCAGAUUCCAGCUCCAGCUGGCUAUGCAGGGCAAAUUUCCAGCCACUUGGGAUUUGGGCAGGGAACUGAGGUGACUGUCUCCUCUUGAUAACAGUACCAGGGGAUAUUUAAUGGCCACCCGAGGUUGGGAUGUCAUUUCAGUAUAUCCUCCCAAAGCUCUCCAGCAGCAGAGUCCCCCAGCACUGAGGCACUGCAUUCAGCACUGACUCAAGCGGGCUGGUUCUCCUUAUUGAAUUGGCCAUAGUGUCCCCCUUUGCUCCCACAGAGCACUGGGGUCACCACAGGCUCAGGGGGGAGGGCUCCUUCAUAUGGAAGCAUCAGCGGCCUGUUCAUGUGGGGCGACUAUGGCUCAUGUCCUUGCAGAGCUGAGCUCUGCUGAGAGCUCUGAGUGCUCAAGUUGUAGAGAUCCAGGACAUUUGCCUCUACAGAAAACAUCCCAAAGGUGGAGCCUGUCACGCUUAACAAGCACGUGGAACUGAACUAAGCAGGCCUCUUUUGCUGCUCCUAACCCUAGGGGGCCCUCGCAACUCAGAUGAGUCUCCUGCUGUUUCGUGUAGCACUUAGCUUUAGUGCUAGAGAGAUGGCUGUUUCGCAGGCGAGACUGCACAGCAUCCACUUUCCUUCUCCCAGCCAGAGAGAGACUUCUGCCCUGCAUCUGACUGCCCCCCUGGGCCCAUGGAGAAGGAGGCAGGCCCCCCCGUGCUAAGUCUCUGCUAACAACACAAAAGAUGGCACAUGCUGCACACUCAACCCGAAGAGUCACAAACAAAUUGCCUGCCCAAGAAGUACCUGCGACUCCCGUGGGGACCAGUGUAGGAGCAAAGGCACACGGUAUGCCUGCUUCAGUCACACAAUCUCUCUUUUUCUAUGCACAGCUCCUUUCCUUGCCAGCACAAACCUGGGGGCAGAAGCUGAAUGACAUGUUCACAAGACCCCAACAAAUCUGUUGGCUGCAGAUAGGAGAGACCAUAGCUUCCACACAUGCUGAGUGAGGAAGAACUAGACCCCUUCUCCUGCGGCACAGGCCUUUCUACCUCUUCAGCUGUGGGAGAGUGGUAGCAUGAGCAGUAGUAGCUCCCUUAAACUCCCUGAGGGCUCAGGCACCUGAGGGCACAGUGCUAGGUACAAAAGCCACCAGGUUCCUUUGAAAACUCAUCUCUUGAGCUCCUUCUUGGGACUUUUCAUGCUAUAAUAAAGAUGGGCUCAUGGCAGGGGCCUUUACCCAAGGUCAGGGAGUCUCUGAGACUGGGGUUCAGGCCCUUCUUAGAAAGUGGAGGGAGAGUGGAUUUACCCUGCAUGGUCAGGGAACAAGGGGAGCUCACGUUACAGCCAAGCAAACUGCCCCGCUCAGCAGAAGGCCCAAAACUGCCAGCUGUAAUUGGAGCUCAGGCAGGAGCUCAGGGUGGAUGGUAAGGGCCGAUCCCCCUAACCUGGCCAGUUGCUUGGAUGUGAAGGGCACUCUACAAAGACAAGCUGCUGCGAUUCCCUGGGAGCUGUGUGUCCCACUUCCCUGGACACUAGGCUACAGAAGCUUACAUAUAGGCCUGAUCUGGAGAGAUGCUGAGUGCCUGCAGCUCCCAACAAUGUUCACAAGGGUGCCCAGCAUCUCAGAGCUGGGCCCCGAGUUCUGCAGAAAAGGACAAUCCAAUAUUCAAAGGCCCCUGGCCUCACAUCACAGAAUCACAGAGAAGCAGGCCUGAAAGGGACCUGUAUAGGUCAUCUAGUCCAGCCCCCUGCCUGAGGCAGGAUCAUCCCUAACCAAACCAUGUGUGGUCAGUGGGGGCAGCUGGACCAGGGAAUGGUUGUCCAGUGUCCCUCCUGCUCUCACUCUCAGUUUCCCUUUCCCUGCAUGGAUAGUUCACAGUGCUGAGCCAUGACACUUCCUAUCCAGUCUACUACAGCCCUUGGAUUGCCCAUCCUCCCCUUCCCAAGGUGGGACAUAGGCUUGCCCCUGGCUGGCUUGGCCUCGUCUCCCUCUGAGCCAGGCUGGGAACAAGUAGUGUGUUCUCUGACCCACUAGGCCUGGUGCCAGCUGUUUGGCCUGAUGGGGUCUGGUCAAGACGCAGUCAGUGUACUGACUGAACUGAUGGCUCCUGGGGGAGCCGUUCAGUUAGAGCAUAGCCUUAUCAAUGGAGCCUGAUCCAGUCUGCUAAGUGGAUAUAAGGUGCUUUUAAACUGAAGUGGCCAAAUCAGUGCACAUUCUGUAGAAGCCAUUUCUGAGUCAUUCCAGAGCAUGAAGUGCAAGUGACAAAGCCAGGGCUCAGCUGGUGUGUAUGCGAGCACGUGAGCCCACGGGUGGGUGCUCACGCACAUGGAAGAAGCCCUGGGUAUGCAAGUUCAGGUGGGAGUGAAUCCAUGUGUCUAUAUAGGUAUUUAUUAGGACAGUGUGUGCAAGGGCACUAGCAUGUGCAAGGCUGGGUGUACAUGAUUGUGUAAGGCUGGGUGUGUGUGCACUUGAGUUAGGGCAACUGUUCACCUAUAGGUACAUGCCUGUGAGUGGGAAAGUCUUAGUGUGUUUGUGCAUGAGAGUGCGUGUUCCCUGUGUUAGAAUGAGGUCCCGUGGCCACAGGGACCUUAAAUGCACACAGCCUGCCUGCUCUAGUGCCUGGGUGUCUGGAAGUCCCAGUGAUCAUGUCUCUUGUAGUCUCCCUGGACAGAUCUUUUACUUUUGCCACAUCUGCAUUACACUGGCAUGGGACUGCUGGUGUAAUGCAGAUAUUUGAUUGUGUGGGUUGAUGUGUGCAAGAGCAGCUGAGUGAACCCUAUGCAAAUCUCUAUGCACAGGAAACCCCAGCUGUCCUUUUGGGAGCACCAGUGUUUCUCCAUGCUUCUCAGCAACUUCCCAGCACCUGCGCCCAAGCCCCUCUAUACAGGCGAUCACCAGGCAGCCCCUCCCAUCCUGCCACUCUGCUGCUGCUGAGUCUGCGGUGCCAGCCAGCAUGGAGCAGCUUGCUGCAAACCUGGC